GUGUUCACCUCAGCAGUGCAUUUACUAAAACUGGAAUGUACAGAGAUUAGCAUGGCCCCUGCACAGGGGUGAUGCACAAAUUAGUGAAGCAUUCCAUAUUUUU